UAACAGAAAGGACCCUCAGCUGCAGGUCUGUUGGAAUACCCUGCCGUGUGAGGUGUCAGUGUGCCCCUGCUGGGGGGUGCCUCCCAGUUAGGCUGCUCGGGGGUCAGGGGUCAGGGGUCAGGGACCCACUUGAGCAGACAGUCUGCCCGUUCUCAGAUCUCCAGCUGUGUGCUGGGAGAACCACUGCUCUCUUCAAAGCUGUCAGACAGGGACAUUUAAGUCUGCAAAGGUUACUGCUGUCUUUUUGUUUGUCUGUGCCCUGCCCCCAGAGGUGGAGCCUACAGAGGCAGGCAGGCCUCCUUGAGCUGUGGUGGGCUCCACCCAGUUCGAGCUUCCCAGCUGCUUUGUUUACCUAAUCAAGCCUGGGCAAUGGCCGGCGCCCCUCCCCCAGCCUCGCUGCCGCCUUGCAGUUUGAUCUCAGACUGCUGUGCUAGCAAUCAGGAAGACUCUGUGGGUGUGGGACCCUCCGAGCCAGGUGCGGGAUGUAAUCUCGUGGUGCGCCGUUUUUUAAGCCCGUCGGAAAAGCGCAGUAUUCGGGUGGGAGUGACCCGAUUUUCCAGGUGCCGUCCAUCACCCCUUUUUUUGACUCGGAAAGGGAACUCCCUGACCCCUUAUGCUUCCCAAGUGAGGCAAUGCCUCGCCCUGCUUCGUCUCGCGCACGGUGCGCGCUCCCACUGACCUGCGCCCACUGUCUGGCACUCCCUAGUGAGAUGAACCCGGUACCUCAGAUGGAAAUGCAGAAAUCACUGUCUUCUGCGUCGCUCACGCUGGGAGCUGUAUACCGGAGCUGUUCCUAUUCGGCCAUCUUGGCUCCCAAGAUAUAAGGAAGUUUCUAGCAUUUGAAGAGAGAUGCAGAAGAACCCAUUCAUUAUUGCAUCCAGCACCCAGAAAAGUUCCUAACACAUACACCGAGAGUGGUCAGCCAGAUGGGCGGGAACCAGUAUGCUGUUUCUGCUAUCCAGUACACCUUACCAAGAUUUCACAGAACCUCUGACUAAUACAGCAAUAUUGAUUUUAUCUAAAGGGAAUUACUUUUAAGAAAAUUUUCUCCUAAAUCGCCCUGGAAGAUGCUCUCUUGUUUAACCAAAUAGUGUUGAUUAAAAGGUUGAAAUGAAUGCUAAGUGAGCUGUUUUGUUUACUAGUGGAAACAAUUAUUUCUUCAGCCCUCGCCUUUCAUCUCCAUAAAUUAAUGCUCUUUUCUCUGUGCUUCAUUGACGGCUGGUGAAUUAUGCAAAUAUUUUUUCUGUAAGAAAUUAGAUAAAGUAGUCUCGAGACUUCUUAUAACAAGUCAUUAUAAAGAAUGGCAAGUUAACAAUUUGAUUUAAAAUACUGUUCUCAAUCUAGGUUGCCUAAGUUCAAAUGUUUUAACCUUUAAAUCAAUUAUCUGAAACCAAAUUAUAUUUGUAAGUACAUGGUUAUUCUAAAGAAAUUAAGUCAUUUUAGCAUUUCCUUUAAUAAGAAAGUGAUUUUAGGACAUUAUAGAAAUACAUCAUUUCAAUAGUUACCUUUCUACUACCAGUACUACUGCCUCCAAGAUAGUGCCAUUUCACCCUGACAUCACAAAUGAAAAUAAACAAAUAUUUGAUUAAUUCACAUAGUGUGCCUUUUUCACAGUAGGGGUGUAUGUAUAUUAAGACGGUUUAAAAGUCAAACCUCAGCACUGCACAGUUAUUUCAAAAAAAAUCAAUGAAAACCAAAUGACUCACAGUAGCUCACAAUUAAACCAAAAACUCACUUGUGCCCUUUUUCCCACAAAAGCAGCAUUUUUAAAUGCAAAUUGUUCAAUACUCUAAUUGCUCCAAGAGCACUUCUGAUUAGCAAUCUUAAUCAUGUUCUAGCGCCUUUUCAUCCCAAUUUCCAGGAUUUUGUUAUUAUGUGUCAGCAUGACUCAAGGGAAAGCCCAAACCCUGGUCCCACCAGACUGAUACAACCUAGAUUGUAAACCGAGUGGUUCUCAGCUCCAGGCCAUCCCGUCUCACUUGACCCCUCUCUACUCAGAGCAGGAAACCAGCUCGGCUUCCCUUGGCAGUAAGGGAAUGAAGUGCAUUGAUUGCUCGUGAUUAUUAGCUGGAGUGGGAUGAGCC
rnacentral:lncRNA from 10 species